UGGUUCCUUAGCUCAAUUGGUUAGAGCACACGGCUCAUAACCGUGCGGUUGUAGGUUCGAUUCCUACAGGAAUCAUCGG
rnacentral:tRNA from 1 species